UCACAAUUCACAAAACUCAUCUCUUCUCUUCCUCGCCAAAAUUCGCCAUGAGCACAAAACAGUGCAGCCACCACAAAGACCGCCGAAAGCGGAUCAUCCGCCGCGUCUGCUCCGUCCUCCUCGUCAUCCUCUUCAUCUGCCUCCUCACCUUCCUCAUCAUCUGGGCCGUUCUCCAGCCCAAAAAGCCCCGCUUCACCCUCCAGGACGCCACCAUCUACGCCUUCAACGUCACCGCCGUCCCCAACCUCCUCACCUCCAACUUCCAAGUCACCGUCACUUCCCGAAACCCCAACAGCAAAAUCGGAAUCUACUACGACAAGCUCGACAUCUUCGCCACCUACCGGAGCCAACA
rnacentral:lncRNA from 1 species